rnacentral:rRNA from 1 species
GAUGAACGCUAGCGGCAGGCCUAAUACAUGCAAGUCGGACGGGAUCGGGGAGCUUGCUCCCCGUGAGAGUGGCGCACGGGUGCGUAACACGUAUGUAACCUACCUUUAUCAGGGGGAUAGCCUCUCGAAAGAGAGAUUAACACCGCAUAACAUCACAUGAUAGCAUUAUCGAGUGAUCAAAUAUUCAUAGGAUAAAGAUGGGCAUGCGGGACAUUAGCUAGUUGGCGGGGUAACGGCCCACCAAGGCGACGAUGUCUAGGGGAUCUGAGAGGAUGACCCCCCACACUGGUACUGAGACACGGACCAGACUCCUACGGGAGGCAGCAGUAAGGAAUAUUGGUCAAUGGACGCAAGUCUGAACCAGCCAUGCCGCGUGCAGGAGGACGGCCCUACGGGUUGUAAACUGCUUUUGUACCGGAAUAAACCCUUUUACGUGUAAGAGGCUGAAUGUACGGUAAGAAUAAGGAUCGGCUAACUACGUGCCAGCAGCCGCGGUAA